GAGAAGAACUCUGAACUAUAGGCUCCACAUCCCUAGUGGAAUGUUCAGUAAAAUUGGAACGAUUCGUGUGAACUAUUGGCUCCACAUCCCUAGAGGAAUGUCCAAUAAUAAAAUUGGAACGAUACAGAGAUGAAGUGUGAACUAUUGGCUUCUCAUCCCUAGAGGAAUAUUCAAUAAUAAAACUGGAACGAUCCAGAGAAGAAGUGGGAACUAUAGGCUCCACGUCCCUGGAGGAAUGUCCGAUAAAAUUGGAAUGAUACAGAGAAGAAGUGUGAACGAUUGGGUCGGGUUCGGAAGAAACAGAGUAAAGGGUAUUUGGAGGUUGUUGAAUUGAAGAAGGCAAUAAUCUAACAUUUUCUGGGAAAUUGAGUUUUGCUUUACUACCUCUAAAUCUAAGAGCGGCUUCAUCAUAAGCUCUAGCAGCUCCUUCAGCAGUAUCAAAAGUACCUAGCCAAACACGCGCUGCUUUAUAUGGAUCUCUUAUUUCAGCUGCCCAUUUUCCCCAUGGCCUCUGUCUUACUCCUCUGUAUCGUCGUCUU
rnacentral:lncRNA from 1 species